UGAGGAAUAUUGGUCAAUGGACGCAAGUCUGAACCAGCCAAGUAGCGUGCAGGACGACGGCCCUCCGGGUUGUAAACUGCUUUUAGUUGGGAAUAAAGUGCAGCUCGUGAGCUGUUUUGUAUGUACCAUCAGAAAAAGGACCGGCUAAUUCCGUGCCAGCAGCCGCGGUAAUACGGAAGGUCCAGGCGUUAUCCGGAUUUAUUGGGUUUAAAGGGAGCGCAGGCGGACUCUUAAGUCAGUUGUGAAAUACGGCGGCUCAACCGUCGGACUGCAGUUGAUACUGGGAGUCUUGAGUGCACACAGGGAUGCUGGAAUUCAUGGUGUAGCGGUGAAAUGCUCAGAUAUCAUGAAGAACUCCGAUCGCGAAGGCAGGUAUCCGGGGUGCAACUGACGCUGAGGCUCGAAAGUGCGGGUAUCAAACAAG
rnacentral:rRNA from 1 species